rnacentral:lncRNA from 1 species
AAUUUCUUAGUGAUUAUUUAAAAAAAAUGGAAGAAUAUAGUAAAAUAUUAACAAAAGAAUUUUCAUAUGCAAUGUGGAAACCAUUAGCAGAGAUAACACUCAUCGCCAUUCAAGUUUUUAAUCAUUGUCGAGCUGGAGGAACAGAAAGAAUUUUAAUUAAAGACUUUAAAAACCAUGAGUGUGAUUAUGGGACAGGUUCUAUAAAAAUUGUAUACAAGAUUCAUUUGAUAAGACCUAUGACUAUAUUAGAUUUACUAUUCGCGGUAAAUUACAUAGAACUCUUCCAGUACUGUUAGAUGCACAUAUAUUAAAAAGUAUUCAACUUUUGCUAUAAUUUCAAAAAAAUGCUAAUGUGCCAUCAGAUAAUCUUUUUUGUUUGGAUUACCCAAUAAUUAAAAUGAAAAUAAACAUGCUUAUAAACAAAUGCGAGGUUUUGCAAGCCUAUGUGGAGUAAAAAAAUAGCUCCGCACUUUGUCUAACUACUUUGCGCAAACAUGUGCAACAGAAUGAGUGGAUAUAAACUUGUUGGAUAAUCAAAUGUCGAGAGUAGCAAACUUCAUGGAUCAUCAUAAUAUCAUACCUACAAAACAUAUCUACAAAAAAAUCUAUAGCAACCUGUUGCUAAAGUCGACAUACUAGAAAUGUCAAAAAUUUAGAAAAAAAUCAAGGCGUGGAUAUAACAGUUUCUAAUGAUGGAGUUGACAUAACUAUCAACAGUAAAGACGAUAAUUUUUUCUUCAAUCAAGCCUGUAAAAUAUAUCAAAGGUAAACACGAUGGACAGAUAAAGAAAUAACAGAUGUGCAAAAAUGUAAUUUUUUAAAUAUCUGCGUAAAGGAAAACUGCCACCUUUAUCAGAAAUAAGUGACAUACAAUGUCUUAAGCCAUAAGAAACCUGAUUUAAUGACAUAGUUACAUUAUCAGUUAAGAAAAAACAAAACUUGCGAUUGAAACAUACAUAUGCAUUCAUGAUUUAUUUAAUUUUAAUUCUAUAAGACAGCGGAUUUUAAAGUCAUAUCUCAUUAAAUUUCUUUUCCUUUUUUAGUUUUCAAGAAUGUUUAAGGUAUAUGUUAUUUAUAAUUAAAGAUAUGUUUGUCUUUCUUUUGCAUGUUAGGCAUCGAAAUUGUUUUGCAAAUGUAUUGUGUCCUUUAUAUUUUUCCAAUUAUUUGUUUAAAUAUUAUAUUUAAAUUUUGUCCUUAUGUGAAAAUAUAGUUUUUGAUAUUACAUUAUAUACUCAAAAAAUAUAUUAAAUAUUGUAAAUAUAUAUGUAAUAGCGUUUUCUACUGGAGAAAAAACUGGUGCAGCACCAGCACUGCAGUAAAUUUUGAUGAAAAACUUCACUAGCGUAAUAAUAGUGCAGGUUUAAUGUGGUUCAGUGGAACACAUCAGUAGACAGAUUUAAAAUUAAACAAUUUCAUUGUUAUAAAGUUUACUAAAAUAAUGUAAUAACAUAUAAUGUAAUACACCUUAAAGCACAAACAUAACAUCUAUUUUAAUUUGCACUGGCACCUUCCACCGUCUCGAAAGACGGUGGAACAAACGUUGCACUCAGUGUAAUUUUUUGCACUAAUUUUGUCAGUAGAACAUUAAACACUGAAAAUAUGUGAACUGAUUUUCACAGUGGAACAAUAAAAUUGCACUCAGUGCGCACCAGUGUUGCACUAGUUUUUCCAAUAGAAAACGUUAUAAGAAAAAAGAAUUCAUAAAGAAUGAAACGUUCGUUUUUAUAUAUUACUUUCACUCA